rnacentral:pre_miRNA from 1 species
UNUGUACUCCCUCCGUCCCAAAAUUCUUGUCUUAAAUUUGUCUAAAUAUGGAUGUAUCUAGUUACAUUUUAGUGUUAGAUACAUCCGUAUCUAAACAAAUGUAAGACAAGAAUUUUGGGACGGAGGGAAUACUAC